rnacentral:rRNA from 1 species
UACAGAGGAUGCAAGCGUUAUCCGGAAUGAUUGGGCGUAAAGCGUCUGUAGGUGGCUUUUUAAGUCCGCCGUCAAAUCCCAGGGCUCAACUCUGGACAGGCGGUGGAAACUACCAAGCUGGAGUACGGUGGGGGCAGAGGGAAUUUCCGGUGGAGCGGUGAAAUGCGUAGAGAUCGGAAGGAACACCAGUGGCGAAAGCGGCUUCCUGGUCCAGCACCGACGUUCAGGCACGAAAGCGUGGGGAGCAAACAGG